ensembl:lncRNA
ACCGCCAGAUAAGACCAUUGCAGUCCACACUAGGUCUGGAGGCUUAGACACCCACAGCAUGUGGGUGUUCUCAUACAGGCCAUGAGUAUUUGGGGUGCUUUAAAUGCAGGGGGGUUCUGUUGUCCACAUUAUUCUCAAAGCCCAGAAUAGUCCCUGUUUCACUCUACAGAGAUAGGAAGGCACUGGGGCUCACAGAGUGGUGCUGCUUCCCACCCUCGCCCUCCUGCCCCCACCUGAGCACAGUGUGGCGCUCAGUGAUGGUUAUCCUGUGUUCCAAAUAUGCGUGACCCAGGACUGGCACAGUCGGAGCUCGGGGUCUAGCUGUGACAUGGGGAUCAGUUGGAGUAGCUUCUUGACCAGGCGGAAUUGGGUUAGGUGUCCUAGCAUUGGUGCCUAUGGAGAAGAACACAGACUGCGUAUCACUCACCCCUGGUUCCAGUACCAAGGAAAGGCUGGAGCCAUUGCAGCUAGAGGCCCAGCAGAGGAAGGGAUCAAGGAGAGGAUGCAGCCCAGAGCCCAGGACCGAGCAUCCACCGGCCUCUGGAGAUGGCGUGGUCUCCAGUCGCAUCAGGGCUUCAGGGCCCAUCUGAAGUGCGGAUCAAACCAGGCAGACACCCUUCUGGUGAAGGCAGGCUUUGCAGAUGCGGGGCUGAAUUGAGCAGCCACAGGACCUCCGCGGCUCUGGGGCCAGUGGCAGAACUUCUAGAAGUACCUAUGGGGUAGGAAACCCCAGCCACAAAAGCAGCGAGGUGACCUCCAGGCCUGAGGCUUUGCCUGCAGGCCUCAUCUCAGUCCAUGGGACAGAUCCCUGGUUUUUUUAGUUUGGCCUUGGGGCAGAUGACACCUUCAGCUGUCCAGCCUGCAAUACCUCACCUCCUGCCUUCUGCCCCACUACCUGCAGAGCAGAGGAAUAGGGCCAGGGGCCAGGGGCAGGGAGGAGGAAGAAGCAAGAGCUGCCAGUGUGCUCCAAACCAAGAGACCCCUCCACAUGAUUCUGGGCACAGCUGAGGAGGGAUGCAAGUUCAACUCUGCUCACCACACUUAAGAAGCAGGCAAGGGAGGAGGAAAGGCAAAAACAUGGGGUCCUGAGGCCCUUUUACUCCCUCUACCCUAUUGGAGGUGAGGAUGAGAGGUGAGACUUCACUGGACUGUGCUCCUGGCCAGUUGAUCUCACCCAACUCAUUGCAUCAGUAACCUGGUCACAAGGUGGACACUCUGACCUCUUAGCCUUUCAUUGCCAAUGCUACCAGCCCUAUAUAUGCCCUUAUGGGGCCUGAACCUUGACUCAGCUAGGCGGGCUUGGAGGUAAAAUAUUGAAUGGGUCAGGGGUAGGAGGAGAGAUGAGUCUGCCAAGGCUGUGUGAUGUGUCAUUUGAGAGAGUGGGUAUCCCCUAUUCCCAGCACAUGGCCAUUUAUUUAGAGCCAGGGAGGGGGACGAGAAUUCGUAUUCAAAUGUGAUUGUUCCUUAAUUACUACUAGUUGUUCAGGUGAGGGAAUCAGGGAAGGCUGUUACGCAGUGCCAGAUUAAUAAUCCACACGUUGCCCCUGCACCUCCUGUCCUGGUUUCCUAUCAAAGCCUCUCCUGUAUCUGUGAACAUUCCAGCCCCGCAGGUCAGACUGCUGGCCAGGAGUAGUCUCACGUUCUAGCUGACUGAUAGCCUCGGCUUCUGCUGUUGCAUGUGGUUUGAUGAUUCAUGCUGGAGCCUUUGGCUAUAACUCUCUUCCCUGUAUAAAGGCCAUCUCUGAAGUUUGUCUGCCCAACUCCAUUACCUGGUGAAUGAGAUUGGCUGGCUGCUGCUCCUGCCCCAGCUAUUCAGUCAUUUGGCAAAUUCUCAUUUAAACAAAGCUCCACAAGGAGCUCCGAGAAGGAGCUCACCUCUAGGUACACAGAACCUGGACACAGAUGAAAGUUUGCAGAAUGACCCAGUUGUGCAGAGGACACCCACUGGCUGCUCUCAGUGAGGCCAGGAAGAGUCAAACAAAGCAUCUUGGACAAAGAGAGGACUUGAGGGCCCUUUCAAAGUGUUUGUCAAGUCAGUUGGAUGCACAGGAUGUGUGGAGUUGAGGGGUACAUCUAGGAGCAAUGGCAGGUGUUAUCAGUUCAUUCAGGUUAGACCUCUGAGCAGACAGCAGAAACGUCAGCCACAGGUGAGCAUAAGCUCAAACCCCCCAUUGAAGGCUAUAUUCUUGUCCCACAGAGCAGAGCACAUGGCAAGUGGCACACUGACUCAGAUACCAGGCACUGGGAAAAGUGGGAAACCAUGGUCACAGACUCUACAUCCCCCUGCCCUGUUGGCCUCCAUCCCUUCCUCAACUGUCUGCAGAACACCUCCUUCGAGCACGUUAGCUGCUGCCUCCCUCUGGACCUAUUCAGUCCUCAAGGGUGCCCUGCUAAAAGCUGGGCUGAAGGCUAAGAGGAGAGGUGGCAUUCAAUGUGUCCUGUGGCCUCCCUGGGGUUGAUGAAGGGUUGAUGCCCAAUGGAGUCCUUCAUCUUGGCAUUCAGCCCAGGGUCCAGCUGCCAAGGGAAGGCUUGGCAAUCAAGGGUGAUGGAGAUAAGAAUGAAAAGGGGCACCACCCUGUGCCAAGGCUGGCAUGGUGUAUAUCUGAGAGAGGAGCUGCCUAUUCACAGCAUAGGGUUGUCAAGCUGGAGGCAGGGAGAGAAAAGCAAGAGCUUUUUGGUUCCUCUUGAGGAUUGAAAUCUAUAGGAAAACGUUGUAAUAGGGUGAAAAAUAAAUUUCCCAUCCAUCCAGACUUUUUUCUUUGGUAGACUUUCUUGUCAUCUAUUUAAAAUGAAACAAGUGUAUGUACGUGGUUAAGAAAUUUUAGCUAGGAAUGAUGGCGUGUGCCUGUAGUCCCAGCUACUUGGGGGGCUGAGGCAGGAGGAUCGCUCGAACCUGGAAGGUCAAGGCUGCAGUGAGCCCAGAUCAUGCCACUACACUCCAGCCUGAGUGAUGAAGUGAGACCCUGUCUCAAAAAAAA